AAGAAGGCCGUUUGCAGCAGUUAAGGGUUUCCUAUCUUCCGGGGAUUCAGUUCGCGUUGGUUUUAGACGACGCUCCCAUGUUGUCCACUUCCCGUAAUUUAGCUGCAGUUGAAGACGGUUUUUGGGUUUGUACAAGAAUGCAGUUGUUAAAAGAGUGGAUCGGUAUGAACAACAUCGAAAGUUUUUAGAGUUUUUUCAUCAAAAUCUACAGUAAAACGAGGAGAUUCAAACAGGGUUGUGUUGUACUUGGCUGGUAGUAAUACGACGAACUGGUGGUAUGUUCGAUGCCCUUUUCAUCACUGACGACUUUGGUUUUUCGGUUGCCCCGCAUCCCUCCCGGGUCUAUUGAGCACAGAUUCGUGUAAAAAUCCUUUGGAUGCUGUAAUUGAAGGGCGAAAUUGAAGCGUAACAGGUGAUGAGUUUCUGGGUUUAAGUUUUUAUGAACCGGGAAAAGCUUUAUAGUCUGCAAACAGUUUCUGUUCUCGUGAAUUUGAGAAAAUAGGCCAAGAACUUCACUUCACGUAUCAAGCAAUUUGUUUUCAAUUUGGAACAUUAAGCCAUUAAGGUUCUGUUCAUCAUAUAAAGAUAGACCACUAUUCAUCAAUCUACAAAUUUCGGACUAAAAGAACGAAGGUUGGAAGGAGAAGAAUACAUCUCCAUAGUGGACGAAUUGAUGGAAGCCCUUCAUACACGUUGUCCAAAAGCUCUUAUCUAGAAUGCAUCAGCAGUAGAGUGUGUCUUUCGAUAGUGUCUCGCCUGGCUAUUAAGAAUGCCUCACUGCCGCUCAAUGGCAAAUUGACUGGAAUGGCUUUCGGUGUACCAAUCGUGGAUGUCUCAUUUGUGGACUUAACCGUGAGAAUUGAGAAGGCGGCUACUUAUGAGCAGGGAGUAAUGAGAAGGCAAACUGAAGGGUAUUUUGGGAUAUGUGUGGUGGACAGUAUGCGUGUGGGUAAAGAUCCCGGUCCCGGAUGCAUCUACUUUGGUCGACCAGAUGAUUAAGUAUAGUCGUUUGAGUCUGGAUAUGGCAGGGAACGAAGGUGGGUCAUACACGCAAUCUUCCUUCUAAUCCGAUGGAGGAUUUAGAACAGCCGCAAUGAGAGGGUGUUCAACCGGAAUUAUAAAAUGACCUCUGCAGUGGUGGAUGAGAUAAAAGAGUCCUGGUGGGCGACUAAAAUGCUCAGAAUCGGAAGUAUCAGGUCGGGUCGACUAACUGGGCAGCUUCAGUGGACUCGAUUUUGGCUAGGCUUUGUUGUCAGUUAGUUUUGGGGGCUUUCUGUUGUAUUGUUUUUUUCUUUUUGCUUUGUCUCUUCAACUGUCAUGAGUUCAAACUCGAUAAGUGACAAAUUGUUGUCUUUCUUAAUAGAAAAAUCAGCUGGUUCUGUUACUUCAACACGAUCCCAUUUGUCAACCGCAAGUCUCAUUAACCCUUUGUACAUGUCGAUUUUUGAAUUUCGCAAAAUUAUAGACUGCCCUCCAUAGCUUCCACU
rnacentral:lncRNA from 1 species